CAGGCACAGAUCAGGCUAACACAGAGCUCAGCCGCAGUCCUGACUGUCCUGGAACUAGUCAGGAGAGUCAAUGUCUCAUACAGCCCAGCCUGCCAUCACCAGCUUCACUGAGGGAGGACACAGAGACCUCUGCUUUUGACCAGGAUGAUGAUGAUCCAGAUCCAGAUCCAGGAGAUGCAAUUCACCACUUCCGAGCUGUGUCCAGCACCACGUUUGCACCUCCAAAUGGACCUAGUGACAUUUCAAGAUCCAAAGACGAAAGUCCUGUUCAGCCUUGUCUCUCUAAGUUCCCCAGGACACAGCAUGGAACGCGCAAGAGGGCAUUCAACUCAAACUGGUACAAAGACAAUUCUUGGCUUGAGUAUUCAGUACUGCAAGAAUCUUACUACUGCUUUGCCUGUAGGCAUUUCUCUCUGCCAAAUGUACCAGAUUCUGCCUUU